CCUACGGGGAGCUGCAGUGGGGAAUAUUGGACAAUGGGCGAAAGCCUGAUCCAGCCAUGCCGCGUGUGUGAAGAAGGCCUUCGGGUUGUAAAGCACUUUCAGUGGGGAAGAAAGCCUUGGGGCUAAUACCCUCGAGGAAGGACAUCACCCACAGAAGAAGCACCGGCUAACUCCGUGCCAGCAGCCGCGGUAAUACGGAGGGUGCGAGCGUUAAUCGGAAUUACUGGGCGUAAAGCGCGCGUAGGUGGUCUGAUAAGCCGGUUGUGAAAGCCCCGGGCUCAACCUGGGAACGGCAUCCGGAACUGUCAGGCUAGAGUGCAGGAGAGGAAGGUAGAAUUCCCGGUGUAGCGGUGAAAUGCGUAGAGAUCGGGAGGAAUACCAGUGGCGAAGGCGGCCUUCUGGACUGACACUGACGCUGAGGUGCGAAAGCGUGGGUAGCAAACAGGAUUAGAUACCCUGGUAGUC
rnacentral:rRNA from 1 species